rnacentral:rRNA from 1 species
UCAUCUCCGGGGGUAGAGCACUGUUUCGGCAAGGGGGUCAUCCCGACUUACCAACCCGAUGCAAACUGCGAAUACCGGAGAAUGUUAUCACGGGAGACACACGGCGGGUGCUAACGUCCGUCGUGAAGAGGGAAACAACCCAGACCGCCAGCUAAGGUCCCAAAGUCAUGGUUAAGUGGGAAACGAUGUGGGAAGGCCCAGACAGCCAGGAUGUUGGCUUAGAAGCAGCCAUCAUUUAAAGAAAGCGUAAUAGCUCACUGGUCGAGUCGGCCUGCGCGGAAGAUGUAACGGGGCUAAACCAUGCACCGAAGCUGCGGCAGCGACGCUGAUGCGUUGUUGGGUAGGGGAGCGUUCUGUAAGCCUGCGAAGGUGUGCUGUGAGGCAUGCUGGAGGUAUCAGAAGUGCGAAUGCUGACAUAAGUAACGAUAAAGCGGGUGAAAAGCCCGCUCGCCGGAAGACCAAGGGUUCCUGUCCAACGUUAAUCGGGGCAGGGUGAGUCGACCCCUAAGGCGAGGCCGAAAGGCGUAGUCGAUGGGAAACAGGUUAAUAUUCCUGUACUUGGUGUUACUGCGAAGGGGGGACGGAGAAGGCUAUGUUGGCCGGGCGACGGUUGUCCCGGUUUAAGCGUGUAGGCUGGUUUUCCAGGCAAAUCCGGAAAAUCAAGGCUGAGGCGUGAUGACGAGGCACUACGGUGCUGAAGCAACAAAUGCCCUGCUUCCAGGAAAAGCCUCUAAGCAUCAGGUAACAUCAAAUCGUACCCCAAACCGACACAGGUGGUCAGGUAGAGAAUACCAAGGCGCUUGAGAGAACUCGGGUGAAGGAACUAGGCAAAAUGGUGCCGUAACUUCGGGAGAAGGCACGCUGAUAUGUAGGUGAAGUCCCUCGCGGAUGGAGCUGAAAUCAGUCGAAGAUACCAGCUGGCUGCAACUGUUUAUUAAAAACACAGCACUGUGCAAACACGAAAGUGGACGUAUACGGUGUGACGCCUGCCCGGUGCCGGAAGGUUAAUUGAUGGGGUCAGCGCAAGCGAAGCUCUUGAUCGAAGCCCCGGUAAACGGCGGCCGUAACUAUAACGGUCCUAAGGUAGCGAAAUUCCUUGUCGGGUAAGUUCCGACCUGCACGAAUGGCGUAAUGAUGGCCAGGCUGUCUCCACCCGAGACUCAGUGAAAUUGAACUCGCUGUGAAGAUGCAGUGUACCCGCGGCAAGACGGAAAGACCCCGUGAACCUUUACUAUAGCUUGACACUGAACAUUGAGCCUUGAUGUGUAGGAUAGGUGGGAGGCUUUGAAGUGUGGACGCCAGUCUGCAUGGAGCCGACCUUGAAAUACCACCCUUUAAUGUUUGAUGUUCUAACGUUGACCCGUAAUCCGGGUUGCGGACAGUGUCUGGUGGGUAGUUUGACUGGGGCGGUCUCCUCCUAAAGAGUAACGGAGGAGCACGAAGGUUGGCUAAUCCUGGUCGGACAUCAGGAGGUUAGUGCAAUGGCAUAAGCCAGCUUGACUGCGAGCGUGACGGCGCGAGCAGGUGCGAAAGCAGGUCAUAGUGAUCCGGUGGUUCUGAAUGGAAGGGCCAUCGCUCAACGGAUAAAAGGUACUCCGGGGAUAACAGGCUGAUACCGCCCAAGAGUUCAUAUCGACGGCGGUGUUUGGCACCUCGAUGUCGGCUCAUCACAUCCUGGGGCUGAAGUAGGUCCCAAGGGUAUGGCUGUUCGCCAUUUAAAGUGGUACGCGAGCUGGGUUUAGAACGUCGUGAGACAGUUCGGUCCCUAUCUGCCGUGGGCGCUGGAGAACUGAGGGGGGCUGCUCCUAGUACGAGAGGACCGGAGUGGACGCAUCACUGGUGUUCGGGUUGUCAUGCCAAUGGCACUGCCCGGUAGCUAAAUGCGGAAGAGAUAAGUGCUGAAAGCAUCUAAGCACGAAACUUGCCCCGAGAUGAGUUCUCCCUGACCCUUUAAGGGUCCUGAAGGAACGUUGAAGACGACGACGUUGAUAGGCCGGGUGUGUAAGCGCAGCGAUGCGUUGAGCUAACCGGUACUAAUGAACCGUGAGGCUUAACCUU